rnacentral:rRNA from 1 species
AUUGAACGCUGGCGGCAGGCCUAACACAUGCAAGUCGAGCGGUAACAUUUCUAAGCUUGCUUAGAAGAUGACGAGCGGCGGACGGGUGAGUAAUGCUUGGGGAUCUGCCUGAUGGCGGGGGACAACCACUGGAAACGGUGGCUAAUACCGCAUAAUACCUAUGGGUCAAAGUGUGGGACCUUCGGGCCACACGCCAUCAGAUGAACCCAAGUGAGAUUAGCUGGUUGGUAAGGUAACGGCUUACCAAGGCGACGAUCUCUAGCUGGUCUGAGAGGAUGAUCAGCCACACUGGGACUGAGACACGGCCCAGACUCCUACGGGAGGCAGCAGUGGGGAAUAUUGGACAAUGGGGGCAACCCUGAUCCAGCCAUGCCGCGUGUGUGAAGAAGGCCUUCGGGUUGUAAAGCACUUUCAGUGGUGAGGAAGGUGGUGUCGUUAAUAGCGGCAUCAAUUGACGUUAGCCACAGAAGAAGCACCGGCUAACUCCGUGCCAGCAGCCGCGGUAAUACGGAGGGUGCGAGCGUUAAUCGGAAUUACUGGGCGUAAAGCGCACGUAGGCGGUAUGUUAAGCAAGAUGUGAAAGCCCAGAGCUCAACUCUGGAAUAGCAUUUUGAACUGGCAUGCUAGAGUUUUGGAGAGGGUGGUAGAAUUUCCAGUGUAGCGGUGAAAUGCGUAGAUAUUGGAAGGAAUACCAGUGGCGAAAGCGGCCACCUGGCCAA